rnacentral:rRNA from 1 species
GUAGGUGGCAAGCGUUGUCCGGAAUUAUUGGGCGUAAAGCGCGCGCAGGCGGUUCUUUAAGUCUGAUGUGAAAGCCCACGGCUCAACCGUGGAGGGUCAUUGGAAACUGGAGAACUUGAGUACAGAAGAGGAAAGCGGAAUUCCACGUGUAGCGGUGAAAUGCGUAGAGAUGUGGAGGAACACCAGUGGCGAAGGCGGCUUUCUGGUCUGUAACUGACGCUGAGGCGCGAAAGCGUGGGGGGAGCAAACAGGAUUAGAUACCCUGGUAGUCCAGCCGUAAACGAUGAGUGCUAAGUGUUAGGGGGUUUUCCGCCCCUUAGUGCUGCAGCUAACGCAUUAAGCACUCCGCCUGGGGAGUACGGCCGCAAGGCUG